AAAUGAGAUUUUUAAGAAAAGUCUGUGUAGAUUUCUUUCAGGCUUUAUAUCUAAUUAUCUUAAUCAGCUUCUCAAUUCAAGGGUCUAAUUUCCAUUGCAGUUAAUGAAUUGCACUUAUACAUGGUGACUAAACUAUCUUGCUAUUUUUUAGGGUAUAUUCUAAAGACUCCUAAUGAGAAAAAUAGCCUCAGAGUUCUCCAGCUUUGUUUUUCCAAACAUAAUGCCUGUAUUUAGUAUAUAUUCUACAGAAAAUGCGAGUGAUAGGGAUUAGUAAUUCAUGAAUGAUGUGGCCCAUUUACAGUCUUAACAACACAGAAUUCACUGUGGCAUAGAGAACAGAAAAUGCCCUUGACUUUCAUGCGUUUAAAACAAAGAGAAAUAAAGGCCUAAUCCAGGCUAGAAACACAAAUACUCCCUAGGUUCGGUCAGCACUGAUGAAAAUGUUUAAUAUUAGCUAAGAAAUAAGUUGAAAAUUGAAUUUUAAAAGGCUGAAAAAUAAUAAAUAAAAGCACAAAAUUAUUAAAAUGUUGUAGCUGAAAAUGAAGUGGUAUUGUGCAAUAAAGCUGUCAUUAGCCAAAAGAACUACUUUAGAACAACCUCCCCAAAUGCAUGGUUUGUAUUUGUUUGUCAUUGCUUUAAAUCUGUCUCUGUCUUUUUUCAAGACAGAGAACAUUGUCACGGUGAGCAGCCCCUAGAGUCUGCAGUAUUUAUUAGCAGUUGGUCAUUUUCACAUACGGUUUUCUUUUAAAAUAAAUCUCAAUGCCAAGCACAGGAUCGCUGAUCCCACAAGGCUCAUUUAGAAAUGGGUGACCUUACAUUUUAAGCUUGACACCCUUGAUGGGGAGGCAAAGGAGAGUAGACCGGCGCUCCUAAACAAGGUGUCUUGUGUUCUGUAUGUUACCAGCAGAGGAAGGUAGACUUCUCCAGCAGCUGGCCGGAGGUGCCCCAGGCCCUGCAGUGACGGCCGUUGGCUCUGGGCGAGGAUGGCAGAGCGUACUCUACGCUGCCACCAAAGGACAUGAAGCCAGGCAGCCGCCGCUGUGUCAUGUGGCGCUCAAGUGCUGCAACAUCUCCAUGCCUUGCUAUUUGUAUGGUCCUCCAGUGCCAGCAAAGGAACACCAGUUUCUUAGAAAACAACCUGAUAUUUAA
rnacentral:lncRNA from 1 species